UAGUAAAUACUUUUCAAAAAAAGAAAAUCAAAUUGAAAUAGUUGCAUUAUUUUGUAAAUCUCAAAAUGCUAAUAACUUAUAAGGUAAUACUCAUGAAAGUUUAUCAUUUGUUCAGUCAGAUGAUGCAACUGAUUCAACCGCUGUUAAUGAGUCGCCGUCUUUUACAGAGGAGCCUGGACCUUGUUGUUCAAGACAGUCUUUUCCAUCAAAAAAGGGAAGAAAAUUUAAACAAAGCUGGAAUGAAAAAUAUAAAUGGGUUUUACAUGAGCGCGAGAAAGAAAAAGUUUUUUGUUUUACCUGCAUCAAAGCUACCUAAAUGAAAAUGUCUUUACCUCGUAGUUCGAGAAAAAAAAGAUUCGUACGAAGCUUUUAUUUUAAACAGAUUUUCUAAUUGGAGGAAAGCGUUACAGAUUUUUGGUUCUCAUGAGCGAUCUGAACUCCAUAGAGCGUCCAUUAGUAUGAUAACCUCAGCAACACUGGAAUCGACCGUUAUCAAGCAGCUUAAUCAUCACCAAAAGAAAGAAAUGAUAGAUAAUUGUACGACGUUAUCAAAAAUAUUUACAACACUUCUUUAUUUGGUAAUUCUUCAAUUUUUUUUACGAAAAAUUUAGAUUAACUAUCAAUCGUUAAGUUUAUUUACUGAAUAACUAAACGUUUCUUCUUAAUGUAUUAGGAAACGCAAGGGCUUGCCAUUCGUAAGAAGGUUGAAAAUAAUUCAAACUUUCGCAUGCUACUGAAACUACGACCAGACGAUUCUCUGAAACUGAAGAAACUGUUAAAUCAUUCUGAAAAUUAAAAAUGGUUCUCGCCUGAAAUUGAAAACGAAAUCCUACAAGACUUUGCUCAUGCAACGCUUUGUAAGAUAUGCAAAAGUAUAAGGGAAUCACAACACUAUAGUUUGAUGGACGAUGAAAAAACGGAUAUGUCCGCAAAAGAAUAAGUUACGACCUGCAUUCGACGUGUUAAUGAAAAAUUUAAAAUUGAGGAGCUUUUUAUGGGAUUUUACCAAACCGAGAACAUCAAAAGCGCAACUUUGUUAAACAGUUGGAUGGACGUUUUGUGUCGAUUUAGCCUGUUAAUUCAAAAAGUUGGGGCCAAUGUUUAGACGGCUCGUCUAACAUGUCUGGAAGUAUCUAUGGAUUGCAAACUUUAAUGAGGGAGAAAGAAGAGUGGACAAUUUACGUGCACUGCCGCGCUUAUAAUCUCAACUUGGUUGCACAAGAUUCUGUUGCAAAUCAAACAGAGAUCAGGAAUAUAAUGAAUUUAGUACAAGCAUUUAUCGCAUUUUUCAGUGGAUCUCCAAAACGACUGGCAUGUUUCAAUAAAUUUCGAAAUGUAAAGGAUGUAGAAAGCGGAACAUCACUCCGGUCAUUUUGCUCCACUCGAUGGAUCCUUAGAAAACCAUCCAUUAUAUCUAUUACGAGUAACUACUCCGGCAUCAUCAACUGGUUAAAGGGUUUUGAAAAUCAUUCUGAUAAUUCAGCCAAAAAUAAAUCAGAAGUAACGGGUUAUCUGGAAUCUUUUUGUGAGUUUGACGCAUUUUUCAAAUUGGAAACUUUGCGCAUGAUUUUCACAAUAUUCGAGGAUGCUAAUACAGCUCUCCAAGGCAUGCAGCCUAAUUUUUGCAAAGCAAGAAAUACUUUCAACACGCUUAAGGAGGUGUUAAAAGACGCCCGGGGUGAUACUCGCUUCAAAGUCUUAUGGAAUGUAGCAGCAGAAUGUAGUUUACUUGACAAACCAGACAUGCCACGGAAACAUAAAAUUGCAUCAAAAUUUACUGGAAGUGGAGUUCCAUACUUUUUUACGACUCCAGAGAACCACUACCGCCAGCUUUUCUAUGCAUCCAUCGAUGAUGUUAUAAAGGGAUUUGUGACCCGUUUUGAACCAACUGAGACCACUGAACAUUUAGCAAAUGUAGAAAAAUUUAUCAUUAGUCAGUGCUUGGAAGUUGGAUUUGUUGAGGCUUGUUACAAAGAUGACUUUGAAGACUAUAGAAAACUACAACUCCAUUGCGAUAUAUUUGUGGAUCAUGCAAAAUUUAAGAACAUUCAACUAAAUGAUUUUGAAUCAGUUUUGAAUGAGCUGGUAGACCAUGAUAAUGUACUUUCUCACUUCAUUUCACUGAUUCCCGAGUUUGUGAAGCUGGUUUGUUCUCCUACUUCCAACUUACAAUCCAUUUUUUGCCAUCAAAAUAAGCUUUUCUUGUUCCAAUUUCAAUUGUUGCAACACAAGGUAUCGAUGAUAAUUUAAUCCGAGGUUAAAGAAUUUCAAUUUCCCAAUGCCAAUUUUCAGUUUAUCACACGACUUUAUUAAAUCCAUACCAAUGAUCACGUCGUACUUGUUUAUUACUUCAUCCACACAUAGCACCAAUGCAUUCACCAAGCACCCAUUUGUUGGGUGGUGUAUUUUAUUAACAACUUCUUCACAUCGAAUUAUUCCGCCGAUCGUUGCAACAUUCACUACACGAAUAACUUUAUAAUAAACAUGCCGCAUCUAAUCUAGUUGGUACAACCAGGGAUGCCGUCUCGACGCAAUUGUUAAAGCUUAACGCAUCUUCUCUUCGAAGAAUGGCAAGCAAAACAGCACCAUCAUUAGUCCCAAUAAUGAAAUGAUCCCAAAGUCUGCCGUCUCUCUCUGAAAGCUUGAACUUGCAUUCUUGAUCUGCUCGGAUUACUCGAUGCGCAAUCGUCUGUAUCGAUUCUUCAUUGCCACGAUACGUUUUCCAUAAUUAAUACCGUAAGAUUAACAAUGAUUUUCUAAUUUCCAACGUUUCCAGUUUCGUCACCAACUCUUCGUACGAAACGUCUUCUGGCAGUUCAGGUACUGUUAAUUCCUCCAUGGUCUUGUAAAUCUUCGACGGCAGAGCAGCAAGAAACUACGCUACGUGUAGAUCUGCAGUAAUAUUGUUUAUUACAAAAAAAAGAAGUCAUCUGCUGAAUAAAUCGCUUUGGCUGUUCAUUUUUAUAUUGUGGAGAUAAAAGACACGCCCGGUUAGCUUGUUGUUCAACCCAUUUAGAAACUAUUUUGUUUUUAAUGUUUUUAUUGUUUAUCAUUAACCUCAACGUUUUUACAAAAAAAUUGUUUGCUAUAUAUAGCAUUUAAAAGUACAACUUGUGACUCUUGUCAACAAUUAAUGGUCGUUAUACAAAACGUUAUAAUAAUAAAACUAUGCAGCGUUUGACUUCUGUCAAUAAUUGGCAAAGCUAAUUAUUAACAAAUUAUUGAUGCACAUUAAAAUUACAACACAAACCACUUGUAUUACCACUUGUAGCAGCUGCUGCAGCUUGAUUACCACUUGUAGCAGCUGAAAAUGUAACUAAAGAUUAACAAAGUUGUAUUAAAAAAAAUAUUGCAAUUGCUAAGAAAUGCAUAAACAUAUUGAAAAGUAAUAGUUUGUAAACAUAUCAUUUAUA
rnacentral:misc_RNA from 1 species